AAAAACAGGGGCAGUCUACCGUCCCGAUCACAGCUGAGGCUUGAGGUGCUGCUAAGCUUCACUCGCCUCCUUCAGACCAGGAUAACAGAGUUACUGCGUCACACAUGUCCGGGUCACUUUUGGGUCUUAGGAGUCAGCAGUUACUCUGCCUUUAUGGUGCCUGGAAUGGAUGCAUCAAACAGAUUUAAGUGUGAACACGAAGUAAUUCACACCACUAUUUUCUAACUACAACAUGACCCUUUGGCAAUCUUAUUCUGGAGGAUAUCCACAUGGAACCCAUUUUUGUGACUGAAUCAAAAUAAGCCCAGCAGCCUGUGCAAACGAGAUGUCACACAAACUGGACAGAAAUCACUUCAUGGGUUUUGGAAGAAGCAUAAAUUCAAGCAGGUAAUGGAGAUGGUGUGAUGGAGAACAUUUCACAUAAGGACGGAAGAUUAUCUCUACUAGAUCAGAUUAAAGGCCUAUUUAGUCCAGCAUCCUGUUUCUGCAGGGGCUAGCCACAUGGCUGUGGGAAGCCAA